GGGGUUAAAAUUAAUAAAUAAAAUUAUAAUAAAAAAAAUUUUAAUAUUAAAAAUAUAUGGGGGUUAAAGUAUUUUUAAUAGAAAAAAUUUUUAAAUUUAUAGUUUAAUAGUAUUGUAAAAGAAAUUUGAAAUAGAUUUGAAAAUAAAAUUAUUAGAAAGUAAAUUUAAGUUAUUGUAUCUUGUGUAUCAGAGUUUAUUAAAAAUAAUUUAUUUUUUAAAAUUCUCGAAUUUAAAAGAGUUAAUUAAUUAUAAAAUUUAUUGUUACAUAAAUAUUUUAAAUAAUUAAUUAGAAAUGAAAUGUUAAUCGUUUUUAAAUAUAUCUAGUUUUUUUAGAAAAAAAUUUAAUUUUUAAUUAAUUAUACAAAGAUUUAUUUAUUAAUUAAAUAAAUUUUUUGGUUAAUUUAAUAAUUUAAGGGAUAAGCUUUAAAUUAAAUUUUUAUAAUAAAAAUUUAAAAAUAUUAAAAAUUAUAUAAUUUAUAUUGUUAAAUAAUUUUAUUUUAUUAUAAAUAAUUUUAAUAAAUUUAAAAUUUAAUUAAAAUUUAAUUUUUUAUAAAAAAGAAUUUUUUAAUAAUAAAAAUUUAGUUAUAAUGAUAAAAUUAGUAAAUAAAUGAAUAAUUUAGAAUAAAAAUUAAAUUAUGAAAAAUUAUUUUAAAGGAACUCGACAAAUUAAUAUAUUCACGAGUAAAGUGUAUAUUAAUAUGUUCACCUGUUUAUCAAAAACAUGUCUUUUUGAAAAUAAUAUAAAGUCUAAUCUGCCCACUGAUUUAAUAAUUAAAGGGCUGCAGUAUAUUGACUGUACAAAGGUAGCAUAAUCAUUAGUCUCUUAAUUGGUGACUUGUAUGAAAGAUUGGAUGAAAUAUAAAUUGUCUCUAUAAUAUCUAAUUGAAUUUAAUUUUUAAAUUAAAAAGUUUAAAUAUUUUAAAAAGACGAGAAGACCCUAUAGAGUUUUAUAAUUAUUUUUUUUUUUUAUUAUGAGUUUAUUUAUAAAUUAGAAUAAGAAUAAUUAUUUUAUUGGGGUGAUAAAAAAAUUUAUUUAACUUUUUUUAAAUUUUAACAAAUAUAAGUGAAUUAUUGAUCCAAUAUUAUUGAUUAUAAGAAAAAAUUACCUUAGGGAUAACAGCGUAAUUUUUUUUUUUAGUACAAAUAAGAAAAAAAGUUUGCGACCUCGAUGUUGGAUUAAGAUAAAAUUUAAAUGCAAAAGUUUAAAAUUUUGAUCUGUUCGAUCAUUAAAAUCUUACAUGAUCUGAGUUCAAACCGGUGUGAGCCAGGUUGGUUUCUAUCUUUUAAAAAUUUUAAUAUUUUAGUACGAAAGGAUCAAAUAUUAUAAUUAAAUUAAUUUAUUUGAAUAUUAUUAAAAUAUAAUAAAUUUAUA
rnacentral:rRNA from 1 species